UCCACCAUCGCCGGUCACCGGAAAUUUUCGAAUUGUGUAUUCUUCCCAAAUCUUCGCAAGGUAAUGAAGUUUUCUGGGCCGAUUUUUUUUUUCAAUACGUAUAUAAGAUAUUUUUUUUCCGCUGAUUCAUAAGCUGUAAACUUUCCUUCUGGGUGAAAUUUUUUUCUGCGAUUGACAUUUUUUAUUAAUUCCUGAAUAUUCUUGUACUGUAAUAAUGGUGGAGCUUUCUGUUGGGGAGCAACACUUCGUUAAAGGAAGGAUUGCUCAAGAUUUCCGAUCUGAUGGUCGGAAACGGCUGACUUACCGCCCUAUCCAUGUCGAAACCGGCAUUAUUCCUCAGGCUAAUGGUUCGGCAAUGGUCAGGAUUGGUGGAACCGAUGUAGUUCCCAGUGUAAAGGCUGAAAUUGGGAGGCCGAGUUCGGAUAUAGGCUAAAGUCUCCAUUUUUACUGAUUGCAGACUUGCAGUCCAACCGCAGAACCGACAUUCGGGGUGAGGUUCUUGGGAUUUGAUUUGAUUUUGAUUCCACUUAGCAAUUUAGAUGGUUUGAUCUUGUAUAACACGGUCUCUCUUUCUCUAUUUGGAGUGAGGAUUUUGCUAGUUCUGAGUUUUUUAGAGAUCAGAAUAGGAUCAGGGCAGGUCUAACUUUUUCUGGUGGUUAAUAAUAAUAUUAAAGAGACAUAUUAUUGUUGCAUCAGGGCAGAGGGGGGGUGAGGAAGAAUUUGUCUUCCGAGUUCUGAGCUUGCAGGUCUAGCUCUUUCAACGUUGUCUGCUAGGGGCCAAAAGUGGAGCAGGCACAUGAUUCAUGUUGUCUGCAAACUUAUACCUGGACAUUCUCAUGCUCUGAUUUUCUAAUGUUUCUCGGUAUUCAUUUUCUGUAUCAACGCGGGAAUAGAUUUAUCAUCGCUUGUCAGUGAAGAAGGAAAAGUUUGUUGGGAUCUCUACAUCGAUGGGCUCGUUGUUAUUUUGGACGGAACCUGUUGGAUGCCUCAGAUGCUGCCAAUGCCAUUAAGGCUGAUUUAACCAACAGGCAACAACACUCUCCCACGAGCCUAAGUAUCAGCCGAAGUGCCAGAUGAAGAACAGCCGGGGAUUGAGAUCAGCGACGAAGAGCAUCUACAGUUUGACACUUCCACCUUUCCAAUUAUAGUGACAUUUUAACAAAAGUAUCGAUUUUUCACCCUCUCAAUUCCACCCUUUGGAGAAAUUUUAAAAAUUGUGUCUUUGAUUUCUAGGCAGGAAAGCAUUAUGUAGUCGAUACAACAUCGGAAGCUGAAUCCCAAAUGAGCUCGGCUGUGUCAGUACCCGUGAACCAGGCUGGUCAUAUUUGCGGGUGGCAUUGGCUUGGACCCCCGAGCAUCAUUGUUGACAACUUGACUUGAUAUCUGUUUCCAAGCAUGUGACCGAGAUGCUAACGAGCCAAUUGGAUUCAGAAACAUCAGCAGCUGAGGCCCGAGAAGACGAGUCCUGCAUUGGACCCUUUACUUUGGAAAAUUUUUGUGAUUUUUAAUUUGUAAACGUAGAUAAUCAAAGAACAGAAUAGUACAUGUAAAUGUGUUGAUGGAAAAGUAUAAAAAUAAAUAUUUAUAGA